GGUGAACGCUGGCGGUAGGCCUAACACAUGCAAGUCGAACGGCAGCACAGUAAGAGCUUGCUCUUACGGGUGGCGAGUGGCGGACGGGUGAGGAAUACAUCGGAAUCUACUUUUUCGUGGGAGAUAACGUAGGGAAACUUACGCUAAUACCGCAUACGACCUACGGGUGAAAGCAGGGGAUCUUCGGACCUUGCGCGAUUGAAUGAGCCGAUGUCGGAUUCGCUAGUUGGCGGGGUAAAGGCCCACCAAGGCGACGAUCCGUAGCUGGUCUGAGAGGAUGAACAGCUACAAUGGAACUUAGACACGGUCCAGACUACUACGGGAGGCAGCAGUGGGGAAUGUUCGAUAAUGGGCGCAAGCCUGAUCCAGACAUACCGCGUGGGUGAAGAAGGCCUUCGGGUUGUAAAGCCCUUUUGUUGCGAAAGAAAAGCAGCAGGUUAAUACCCCGCUGUUCUGACGUUACCCAAAGAAUAAGCCCCGGCUAACUUCGUG
rnacentral:rRNA from 1 species